rnacentral:rRNA from 1 species
CGCUUCUUUUCCCACCGGAGCUUGCUCCACCGGGAARAGAGGAGUGGCGAACGGGUGAGUAACACGUGGGUAACCUGCCCAUCAGAAGGGGAUAACACUUGGAAACAGGUGCUAAUACCGUAUAACAAUCGAAACCGCAUGGUUUCGUUUUGAAAGGCGCUUUACGGUGCCGCUGAUGGAUGGACCCGCGGUGCAUUAGCUAGUUGGUGAGGUAACGGCUCACCAAGGCCACGAUGCAUAGCCGACCUGAGAGGGUGAUCGGCCACAUUGGGACUGAGACACGGCCCAAACUCCUACGGGAGGCAGCAGUAGGGAAUCUUCGGCAAUGGACGAAAGUCUGACCGAGCAACGCCGCGUGAGUGAAGAAGGUUUUCGGAUCGUAAAACUCUGUUGUUAGAGAAGAACAAGGGUGAGAGUAACUGUUCACCCCUUGACGGUAUCUAACCAGAAAGCCACGGCUAACUACGUGCCAGCAGCCGCGGUAAUACGUAGGUGGCAAGCGUUGUCCGGAUUUAUUGGGCGUAAAGCGAGCGCAGGCGGUUUCUUAAGUCUGAUGUGAAAGCCCCCGGCUCAACCGGGGAGGGUCAUUGGAAACUGGGAGACUUGAGUGCAGAAGAGGAGAGUGGAAUUCCAUGUGUAGCGGUGAAAUGCGUAGAUAUAUGGAGGAACACCAGUGGCGAAGG